ACGCACGCUGGCGGCGUGCUUAACCCAUGCCAGUCGAACGGAAAGGCCCUGCUUUUGUGGGGUGCUCGAGUGGCGAACGGGUGAGUAACACGUGAGUAACCUGCCCUUGACUUUAGGAUAACUUCAGGAAACUGGGGCUAAUACCGGAUAGGAGCUCCUGCUGCAUGGUGGGGGUUGGAAAGUUUCGGCGGUUGGGGAUGGACUCGCGGCUUAUCAGCUUGUUGGUGGGGUAGUGGCUUACCAAGGCUUUGACGGGUAGCCGGCCUGAGAGGGUGACCGGCCACAUUGGGACUGAGAUACGGCCCAGACUCCUACGGGAGGCAGCAGUGGGGAAUAUUGCACAAUGGGCGGAAGCCUGAUGCAGCAACGCCGCGUGCGGGAUGACGGCCUUCGGGUUGUAAACCGCUUUCGCCUGUGACGAAGCGUGAGUGACGGUAAUGGGUAAAGAAGCACCGGCUAACUACGUG
rnacentral:rRNA from 1 species